CCCGCGCAUCUCUCUUCCUUUUCCCCGCCGAAGCUCUCUCGAGCCCUAACCAUCUGCGGUUACUCCUCUCCCUCGCGUGCAUAAGGCUGGGACCAAGAGAAGCCGACAUUUCUCUUCUCCCUCUCCGCAGCUGAGCUACCUCCCUUGUGCCCUAGCGAGCCCCGAUACCGAUUUCUCUCCUUCCUCUCGCGUCUCCCGAUCGCCACAGCCGACGCCGGCAGACGAGAGCUGCCAUCCGAGCCCUAGCGUCGACCUCUCCUCCUCUUCUUCGACCACCGGUCACCAGGUCCGACCUACUCCCGGAGCGUUGGCGCCACUCGACCCUCGCUUCUCUGCUCUGAUUGAUGUCAUACAGGAGCAAGGAGCCGAGCCCUCUUCACAUCUGCUAAUCGUCGACGCCGGCCAAGUUUCUGUUCCCUAUCUUUUCCUCUCUUCCGGAAGAGCAUCGUUGUUGACUCCCUGUUCCUUUGAGCCGUGCCCUAACACUGCCUUGCUGCCCUCUUCUGUGCCCUGGUACGGUACUGCCGAGCCAACAAGUGAAGAAUUCCAGCAGCCAACAGCCCUUAACGGCAGUAAUUUCGGCCACAAAUUUUGAUCCAGCAGUAACAAGGUGACACAGGACUUUGACACGAGACGAGUAUCUUGACAUCAUA